rnacentral:rRNA from 1 species
AGCGAACGCUGGCGGCAGGCCUAACACAUGCAAGUCGAACGAACUCUUCGGAGUUAGUGGCGGACGGGUGAGUAACACGUGGGAACGUGCCUUUUGGUUCGGAAUAACUCAGGGAAACUUGUGCUAAUACCGAAUGUGCCCUUCGGGGGAAAGAUUUAUCGCCAUUAGAGCGGCCCGCGUCUGCUUAGCUGGUUGGUGAGGUAACGGCUCACCAAGGCGACGAUCAGUAGCUGGUCGGGGAGGAUGACCAGCCACACUGGGACUGAGACACGGCCCAGACUCCUACGGGAGGCAGCAGUGGGGAAUCUUGCGCAAUGGGCGAAAGCCUGACGCAGCCAUGCCGCGUGAAUGAUGAAGGUCUUAGGAUUGUAAAAUUCUUUCACCGGGGACGAUAAUGACGGUACCCGGAGAAGAAGCCCCGGCUAACUUCGUG